rnacentral:lncRNA from 1 species
UUUUUUUUUUUUUUAUUCCUCAGCUCUUUUUACAGUGACAAUAGGACCCUUUCCCUGUGGGUUUCCUGCGAUGUAUGGUAAAUACACAUGACAGUGGAGGGAGAAUAAAAAUCCUGAUCAAAGUUGGGCAUAUUCAUGAGACAGCUUCAGCAACAUGUGCUGAAUAUGCUACGUUAUCCACAAGAUGGACCCAUCUUACCCAGUACACAGGGCACACAUAAUAUCAGUGAAGAAAAAUAAGGAGAAACCCAUUUCGCGAACAACACAGAGUAGCAAACAUUUUAUUUGGAUGCUAUGAAAAAUCCAGUGGUCCCUAUGAUGUCAGAAAUUGUCACACAUCAAAAACAGUUAUGUUUUAGUGAUAGAACAGAAACAGCAUUUUUAUUUUUGGACAAUACAGGUGAGUCCAACUACACUGUUCUUUCAAAAAAUAUAUAUUUUACCAUCAAAGAGAAAGAACACUUGUAAUACCCAAGUGAACUUUUAAAAGCUUCACAAAAUGCUGAUUUAUAGCUAUGGGGUGAAAUUCCAAUAAUAGGAAAUGAACUUUCUGGUCAGGGCACGUCCUGUCCAAGAUGAAAUCAAUGAAUGCGCAAUGCUUGACAUAAUGCUUGAAAACAGGGAAUAAACAGAACAAAAAUAUUAAAAUGAUGCACUGUUUCAGUAUUAAGAUUUAACAAUCUGGUGCUGAAUAUGCUGCAGUAUAAAUAGUGCCUGGACUCAGAUCCAAUAAAGUAACACAGCUCUCAUUCAUACUACCGUAUGUCUCUAGUUCUGGCUCCUUAAGUCAUAUUUCACUUGCCAAGAAAAGCUGUUUUCUUGUGGGGAUAGUUUUCCUAACAUUCUCUCUCAUGACAAUGAAAAGUGCACAGCACACAGCAUGUAACAGUCAUGAAAUGAGCAUCCAGGGCCCACUGGACAGCCAUCCAGGAAAGGAUGAGUCUGCUUCCCUACUUCCUUUGUGCCUUCUGACAUUGGAAAGUACUAAAAAGAUACCAAAACCAACUAUCAUGAUAACCCAUGAGUAGAGUAUAGAUUGACCAUCCUCUAAAGAUGCUAUUUUAUUAUAAGGGAUCAGAGGAAAAAAAAUGAAGUCAGCAACUGCACACUGUCAUAAACAAGUAGAAGCAUUUGGUGGGUCAUCUUGGUUACUAAGAAUACGAGGGUAGCAUGAAGUAAAUGAAUCCUAUAAACUUUAAUGCACAAUGCUCUAGAGGCGGUUCAUCCAUGCUGUUGUGUGUGUCACUGUUCAUCCCUUUCUAUCACUGAGAAGGGUGUCAAUGUAAAAAUACCCCACAAUGCAGCAGACACAACAGAAUAUCCUCGAAUGCUUUCAUUUAUAUAAAAUACAAGAACAUGGAGUUCCUGUCGUGGCUCAUAAACGAUGGGAGAAAAUAAAGUUCUUGGGUACAGAUGUAACACCAUCAAAGCAACACUUUGGGGUGAUGACCCUGUACCGGAAUUCAGGUGGAUUAAAAGGGGGAAGCAUUCUGAGGGGAGAAAAACUGAAAUAAUCCAAAUGGGUCUAUCUAACUACAACCAUAACACCCUCUUCCUGGUUAACUCUAAGAAAGGAUACAGACCCAACAAAUGCUACAAUACAAUGAAGGAGGACAAAGACUGAAGAACAGACUAUGUGCCCUCUAGGGAGAUCUGACUCGCAGUGCUGGAGAAAUCUCAAUGAAAACAGCUGGUGAUUAAAUCAGAUAGUGCAUGCUCUCUCUCUCUAUGCGCACACACACACACACACACCCUGAGCCCAGCCAGGCACACCAUACAUGCUCAAUAAAUGGCAAUUUCUAAUUCUUCUCUGAAUAUAUAACACACUCUCACUCUGUCUGGUGUACUGAUCCCACUCAUCCACCUCUAGAAACUGUACACAUUCUUCAGAUUCUGCCACAAGAACAAUUCCAACCCAGAUCAACCCAGCUUGCAAUAAUCCCUUUCUCUGAACAGAUACACAAUAAAUACUCGUGGUUGUGCAGCUUAUAAGGAACUUACUUUACAAUUUACAAAGUGUUUUUUUUUUUUCCAAACCACUAGUUCACCCUCAUGAGGAGAGCAGAGAAAGUGAGGUGAAGUUUAGAGAAGAGUGAAUUUUCAAGGACAUCAGUAGUGACAGCCAGGACUAGACCCUGGGCUUCAUCUGACAAGUUUUCUUACUAAUGGACCAACACCCUUUCUACUCAGCUCUGCCCAUGGGCUAAUGCCCAACCAAAUGGUCAUGCAUGGGUCAGGGUCUUGACAUUUAAUGCUAAACAAAGGGACAUAUGAGACCAAUGAGCAAACAGGUGGCAGGCCCUGAAGAGCCAGCUACACUAGAGACUCCUUUGGAAAAAACUGUCUCCCACAACAGUGCCAUUUCAGACAUAAACAUUGUUUCCCAAAUCAUCUUUCCUAUUUGCAAAGAAUUUAUCAUCUGCAAACAUUUACAAAAUGCCUGGUGCUGAGGACUAUUACAGAUUCAGUUUCAAGGUCUUUGAGUCGCAAAUUAUGGGCGUUUAUUUAUACAAAUGUUAACAUGAUUGAAUUGAGCAUAAUAUCAAUAAAAUUGUUUAUAUCCAGACAAAUCUGUUCACUAAAAUAGAGAGGUCCAAUCCACUCUUCGUGUAAUGCCUUUAGACAAAAUAACAAAAUGCAAUUGUAGGUAAAUUUCCCAUUAGUGACAUAAAAUUAGGCUGGGAAUGGAGGCAAUUUUUGUCUAAAAUUAAAAGAAGGCCAUAAUGGAAACCAGUUUUUCACUCAAUGCAGUAUUCUGCCAAAAAGUGGACUUAUCACAAAAAAGAAAUAUCAAUAGUUGCUCGUGCCCAUACAUAUUUGUUAUUUUUACCAGUUUAUAACCUAUCUCAAAGAAACCAAAUACUCUUCUCGGUAGAUGCAUAAUUCAUAUCCUUAGUAUUAUUUACCUCUAAUUAUGUAAAACAAGAGUGAUGAUAAUACACAUUACAGUUCAUCAAUAUUUAAUUCAAGUCUUUAGUAAGUUGAUCAUUUCUGAGGAUAAAAUAAAAUGUGCUGAUAGCACAAUAUGACCAAUAACACAUCAAAAGGGCUUGUACCAAGCACUAAUCAUUCAUUUAUUCAACACUUUUCCUUUUGUGUCUCCAGCAUAAGUCACUAAGAUGCAAAGAUAACCCAAUACACCCCAUCCCUGUAAUUAUGGAGCUCACAAUUGAGUAGUAUGUACUAUUGCUAAAUACUGAGCAAAGUGAAAUCAUUCUUAAAGUGAACCAAAAUGAUAGCUUUUGCCCCCUGUACCUCAAAUAUAAGAAAUAUUUACGAAGGCCUGCAACAGAUCAUCUAUAAAGUACAAGAGAAUAAUUCUCACUUUGUGGUGACAUAGAGAUAGAUGCUGAUAAAAUAGGUAUACAGGCAUAUUAUAGAACAAAGUCCCCAAAUCAAUCUGUGAGACAGAUAUAGGAACCCAGCAAGCUAUCAGCAGUAUUCCUAUAGAACAGCUCAAUGAAUAAUUUUCUUUUAUUCCAGGUGCAUUUUAACAUUAAUUUCCAAAGCAAAAUCAAA